rnacentral:rRNA from 1 species
ACCUGGUUGAUUCUGCCAGUAGUCAUAUGCUUGUCUCAAAGAUUAAGCCAUGCAUGUCUAAGUAUAAGCAAUUAUACAGCGAAACUGCGAAUGGCUCAUUAUAUAAGUUAUCGUUUAUUUGAUAGUACCUUACUACUUGGAUAACCGUGGUAAUUCUAGAGCUAAUACAUGCUAAAAAUCCCGACUUCGGAAGGGAUGUAUUUAUUAGAUUAAAAACCAAUGCCCUUCGGGGCUCACUGGUGAUUCAUAAUAACUUCUCGAAUCGCAUGGCCUUGCGCCGGCGAUGGUUCAUUCAAAUUUCUUCCCUAUCAACUUUCGAUGCUAGAGUAGUGUUCUAGCAUGGUUACAACGGGUAACGGAGGGUUAGGGCUCGACCCCGGAGAAGGAGCCUGAGAAACGGCUACUACAUCCAAGGAAGGCAGCAGGCGCGCAAAUUACCCAAUCCCGACACGGGGAGGUAGUGACGAUAAAUACUGAUACAGGGCUCUUUUGGGUCUUGUAAUUGGAAUGAGUACAAUUUAAAUCCCUUAACGAGGAACAAUUGGAGGGCAAGUCUGGUGCCAGCAGCCGCGGUAAUUCCAGCUCCAAUAGCGUAUAUUAAAGUUGUUGUGGUUAAAAAGCUCGUAGUAGAACCUUGGGCCUGGCUGGCCGGUCCGCCUCACCGCGUGCACUGGUCCGGCCGGGCCUUUCCCUCUGUGGAACCGCAUGCCCUUCACUGGGUGUGCCGGGGAAACAGGACUUUUACUUUGAAAAAAUUAGAGUGCUCCAGGCAGGCCUAUGCUCGAAUACAUUAGCAUGGAAUAAUAGAAUAGGACGUGUGGUUCUAUUUUGUUGGUUUCUAGGACCGCCGUAAUGAUUAAUAGGGACAGUCGGGGGCAUCAGUAUUCAAUUGUCAGAGGUGAAAUUCUUGGAUUUAUUGAAGACUAACUACUGCGAAAGCAUUUGCCAAGGAUGUUUUCAUUUAUCAGGAACGAAAGUUAGGGGAUCGAAGACGAUCAGAUACCGUCGUAGUCUUAACCAUAAACUAUGCCGACUAGGGAUCGGACGAUGUUAUUUUUUGACUCGUUCGGCACCUUACGAGAAAUCAAAGUGCUUGGGCUCCAGGGGGAGUAUGGUCGCAAGGCUGAAACUUAAAGAAAUUGACGGAAGGGCACCACCAGGGGUGGAGCCUGCGGCUUAAUUUGACUCAAACACGGGGAAACUCACCAGGUCCAGACACAAUGAGGAUUGACAGAUUGAGAGCUCUUUCUUGAUUUUGUGGGUGGUGGUGCAUG